GUCAGAUGACUGAGAGAAUGACAUGAGCUCAGUGGCAUGUGAGCUGUGUUCCUUUUCAUUUCUGAACACAUUGGAAUUGUCCGGUUGGAAUAUUACUGAAGAUUUAUGAUAAAAACAUCCUAAAGAUUGAUGCUAUACAUCGUUUGACAUGUUUCUAUGAACGCUACUUACAAAACCUGGUGGAUUUAUUGUUCCACAGUGUUGUGGGAACCCCCUUACCACAUCAGGAGCAGAAGGCUGGGGCAGUGCAUGGCCAGGCACCAGUCCCACUUCAGAUGGAGGACAGAAGAGAUGGUUUGUCAUGGAGUCCCCUGACUAAAAGACAGGUUGAUACAGAUGUCUGAACUGGGAAAGACCUUGCACUCAGCAUUAAAACUAUACAAGACACAUCUGUCACUUCGUCUUUUGUUAUUAUUGGAUGGUAGGGGGGCGGGGGGACCCUGUGUAUUCUUCAAAUAUGUCAGGUAACUGUCGUAUAUAGGAC
rnacentral:lncRNA from 1 species